GGCGCUGUGGAUGCUCAGCCAGGGGUGUGAGGUGAGGAGGAGCUCGAGGCAAGAGAGGUGAAAAGGUGCACGCACCCACACACAGAUGAGCAGUGUGUGAGAGCAGCAGAGGUCCUGGAGAAGGACUCCAUUCAGCCGAGCGGGAAGGAGGUUGCCCUGGAAGAGAUGAGAAAUGCUGACCAAAAAUCACCACCCAUUACCAUCGGUAAACUUUUUUUUUCUCCGAGGAAUUGAGCAACACCUGUGUGCAUACCCGCAGAAAAGCCCUAUGUUUGUGUUCAUGUUCAUGUUCAUGUUUGUGACAGAAAGAGUUAUUUCCACUGUGAAUUUCUUGUAAAAAUCAAGUGAUGUCAUUUAGACCUAAAUGAGCACCAGUCUCGCAGAACAACAAGAGACCACAGCAGCACACCUGUAGGAAGAGGGGGAAGAGAGCCUCCUGAAACAGCACUUUCAGACAGAAGGGAAGGAACCCAAACAAACCCAAAGGAUGCCAAACACCUAACCACAGGCAACUGCCACACCCAGCCAACCAGCAAACCGCUUUAAAGGUUAAUGACAAAAGUUAUGACUCACCAAACUGGCACGCAUCUCCAGUCAGACCAGUCGGGCACUGACAGACCCCAAUGCCAUCCUGCACAGAACAUGUGCCACCGCCACAUGGAUUCGGAUCACACGGAUCAACAGGAGCUAGAAGCAAGGUUCCUCCAUAACUGCUGGAGUCUGAAGAGAGACAGCUGGGGCUGUGGUGGCAGCGAGAGGGACAGGAGCUGUGAUAUAAUAUUCAGCAGUGGAUUCCACCAACUCUGAGAAGGCCUCCUCUGGGCCUGCGCUGCUGAUGGUCAGUUUCUGAUCUGCAGACUGAGAGGACAAGACCACGGACGGGAGUUCGCUAGGCUUCAUUCCUGAGCCCAGUCCUGAUGCGACUCCACUGGCCUGGUCCCCACUUCCAGACAGAAAUAGAGAUCCACUGCCUGCACCGCUAAUCUCCACGGGGCCCUUGCCGAGCUCCAUGGUUCUUGUGGGAGCAAUGGAGACUUCUAUCAUCCCCUCAUCAGUCAGCAGAGUAAUGUCCCCACUGGCAGAUGCACCUGAGGCCUCCCCUGAUGGAAGCCCAGAAACUCCACUUAUGUCUGGGAGGCCGGAUUCCCCAGAAGGAUAACCAGAGGAAAACCCGGAGUGAAGUCCAC
rnacentral:lncRNA from 1 species